GGCGGAGUGGCGUAAUGGCAGCCGCGGGGGACUUAAAAUCCCCUGGACCGAAGGGUCCGUACGGGUUCGAGUCCCGUCUCCGCUA
rnacentral:tRNA from 1 species